rnacentral:rRNA from 1 species
UACGAAGGGGGCGAGCGUUGUUCGGAUUUACUGGGCGUAAAGGGCGCGCAGGCGGCAGACCAAGUCAGGCGUGAAAGCCCCGGGCUUAACCUGGGAGGUGCGUCUGGGACUGGUAUGCUAGAGUUCGGGAGAGGAGAGUGGAAUUCCCAGUGUAGAGGUGAAAUUCGUAGAUAUUCGGAAGAACACCAGUGGCGAAGGCGGCUCACUGGCCCGUUACCGACGCUCAGGCGCGACAGCGUGGGGAGCAAACAGG